UGGGGAAUAUUGCACAAUGGGGGAAACCCUGAUGCAGCGACGCCGCGUGAACGAAGAAGGUAUUCGUAUCGUAAAGUUCUGUCCUAUGGGAAGAUAAUGACAGUACCAUAGAAGAAAGCUCCGGCUAAAUACGUGCCAGCAGCCGCGGUAAUACGUAUGGAGCGAGCGUUGUCCGGAAUUAUUGGGCGUAAAGGGUACGCAGGCGGUUUAAUAAGUCGAAUGUUAAAGAUCGGGGCUCAACCCCGUAAAGCAUUGGAAACUGAUAAACUUGAGUAGUGGAGAGGAAAGUGGAAUUCCUAGUGUAGUGGUGAAAUACGUAGAUAUUAGGAGGAAUACCAGUAGCGAAGGCGACUUUCUGGACACAAACUGACGCUGAGGUACGAAAGCGUGGGGAGAAAACAGG
rnacentral:rRNA from 1 species